rnacentral:tRNA from 1 species
GAGAGAGGCCCGCUGACAAAAAAGGCCGCUACCCUUAAAUUUCUUCGGUUGGACUCCGAUGCUCCCUCG